rnacentral:rRNA from 1 species
CGCAAGCCUGAUGCAGCCAUGCCGCGUGUGUGAAGAAGGCCUUCGGGUUGUAAAGCACUUUCAGUCGUGAGGAAGGUAGUGUAGUUAAUAGCUGCAUUAUUUGACGUUUAGCGACAGAAGAAGCACCGGCUAACUCCGUGCCAGCAGCCGCGGUAAUACGGAGGGUGCGAGCGUUAAUCGGAAUUACUGGGCGUAAAGCGCAUGCAGGUGGUUUGUUAAGUCAGAUGUGAAAGCCCGGGGCUCAACCUCGGAAUUGCAUUUGAAACUGGCAGACUAGAGUACUGUAGAGGGGGUAGAAUUUCAGGUGUAGCGGUGAAAAUGCGUAGAGAUCUGAAGGAAUACCGGUGGCGAAGGCGGCCCCCUGGACAGAUACUGACACUCAGAUGCGAAAGCGUGGGGAGCAAACAGGAUUAGAUACCCUGGUAG